UGGCCAAACUACCCUUCGGAACACAAUACCCUCGGGAAACUGAGGCUAAUAGUGUAUACCACACUCACUCUGGAAUGACAAGUGUGCCAAACGCUCCGGCGCCGAAGGAUGUGGCUGCGGCCGAUUAGGUAGACGGUGGGGUAACGGCCCACCGUGCCGAUAAUCGGUACGGGUGGUGAGAGCCAGAACCCGGAGACGGAAUCUGAGACAAGAUUCCGGGCCCUACGGGGCGCAGCAGGCGCGAAACCUUUACACUGCACGACAGUGCGAUAAGGGGAUCCCAAGUGCGCAGGCAUAGAGCCUGCGCUUUUGUACACCCUAGGGAGGUGCACGAAUAAGGGCUGGGCAAGACCGGUGCCAGCCGCCGCGGUAAUACCGGCAGCCCAAGUGAUGGCCGAUCUUAUUGGGCCUAAAGCGUCCGUAGCUGGCCGCGCAAGUCCAUCGGGAAAUCCACCUGCUCAACAGGUGGACGUCCGGUGGAAACUGCACGGCUUGGGACCGGAAGGCGCGACGGGUACGUCCGGGGUAGGAGUGAAAUCCCGUAAUCCUGGACGGACCGCCGAUGGCGAAAGCACGUCGCGAAAACGGAUCCGACAGUGAGGGACGAAAGCUAGGGUCUCGAACCGGAUUAGAUACCCGGGUAGUCCUAGCCGUAAACAAUGCCUGCUAGGUGUGGCUCCCACUACGAGUGGGUGCUGUGCCGUAGGGAAGCCGCUAAGCAGGCCGCCUGGGAAGUACGUCCGCAAGGAUGAAACUUAAAGGAAUUGGCGGGGGAGCACUACAACCGGAGGAGCCUGCGGUUUAAUUGGACUCAACGCCGGACAUCUCACCAGCAUCGACUGUGGUAAUGACGGUCAGGUUGAUGACCUCGCCACGAGCCACAGAGAGGAGGUGCAUGGCCGCCGUCAGCUCGUACCGUGAGGCGUCCUGUUAAGUCAGGCAACGAGCGAGACCCGCAUCCGUACUUGCCAGCAGCACUGCGAAGUGGCUGGGGACAGUACGGAGACUGCCGUGGCCAACACGGAGGAAGGAACGGGCAACGGUAGGUCAGUAUGCCCCGAAUGUGCUGGGCAACACGCGGGCUACAAUGGUCAGGACAAAGGGUUCCUACUCCGAAAGGAGACGGUAAUCUCAGAAACCUGAUCGUAGUUCGGAUUGUGGGCUGCAACUCGCCCACAUGAAGCUGGAUUCGGUAGUAAUCGCGUGUCACAAGCGCGCGGUGAAUACGUCCCUGCUCCUUGCACACACCGCCCGUCAAAGCA
rnacentral:rRNA from 1 species